rnacentral:RNase_MRP_RNA from 2 species
CCCUCGCCCGACCAAAUCGCUGUCGAAGCUCCAAACGGAGACGGAUCACUAGUGGUUCGUCUCAAAACCGAAUUAGCUUUGGGAGAAAGUCCCCGGACAGCUUUGCGUUUUCGAAAGGAAAUGGAAGCGCUGCGGAAACGCGCCGCCGUAAUGACAUCUGCGGCUUAUCCCUACCCAUAUGGGACAUUCGUUUUUGUUGCUUUUACCCUCCUCCUCGUUUUUUUUUUUUGCCUUCCUGUCCUUAAAUUUUCCACCCGCUUUCUGAUUUGUCUCUCGACCAACUUGCUCUCUCGUUUUCUUUCUUCCUUUUCCCAACAGUCUCGAUUUGUUCGGCUCCUUGGGUUUGAGAGGGAGUGCUCUUGCUGAUUGCGGGCUACGCCCACCUGUCUCCUCUCUCUUUGCUGGGAAAGCUGCCAUUGAUGACUUCCUCAGUUUAGCUCCCACGGAGCUCUGCAGUGUCGUCCUGCCUUCUGUGUUUCUCUUACCUUUGCGCCCUGUGGCAGCUGGCACCUCUUAUGGACGAAGAUACGAGUCCGCGGUCACUGCUGUGUGGGUUGCGGGUUUUGGGUGCUGGGGGGUGAGGGCGGUGUUGUGGACUCUCGGUGUGUUGGAUCUGUUUGUCGGAGGCUUCUGAGUAGCUCGGAGAGCAGGGAGGCGGGGAAGCAUUGGCUUGUGGCAUUGCGAUCUCGACGACCUAGAGAUCACUGCACGAUUCUUGGCUGGGUUCUGGAUGGAGGGGACGCAAAGGAGAGAGGGAGGAGUGGCAUUGAUGAGAGUGGAGGGAGAGGAGAGAUCGGUGAGGGCUGGGACAGACGUGGGAGUUGGGGACGAGUGGCAGCAGCGGUGUUUCGGGUCUGGGGAGUGAUUUCGUCCGAAACAAACAGGAAUGCGAUUGUUCGCCGAGGUAGCAGAAAUGCUUCUUGGCGUAUUACUCGAUGGGGCUUAUUCUUGGAGCGAGG